rnacentral:rRNA from 1 species
AGCAGCCGCGGUAAUUCCAGCUCCAAUAGCGUAUAUUAAAGUUGUUGCAGUUAAAAAGCUCGUAGUUGAAUUUCGGGAUCAGUACGCCGGUCGUGCCUUCGGUAUGCACUGGUGUCACUGGUUUCUCCCUUCUGAAGAACCAUCAUGCCAUUAAGUUGGUGUGGCGGGAAAUCAGGACUGUUACUUUGAAAAAAUUAGAGUGUUUAAAGCAGGCUCGCGCUUGAAUACAUUAGCAUGGAAUAAUGAAAUAGGACGUUUGACCCUAUUUUGUUGGUUUCUAGGAUCGACGUAGUGAUUAAUAGGGAUAGUUGGGGGCAUUAGUAUUCAAUUGUCAGAGGUGAAAUUCUUGGAUUUAUUGAAGACUAACUACUGCGAAAGCAUUUGCCAAGGAUGUUUUCAUUAAUCAAGAACGAAAGUUAGGGGAUCGAAGACGAUCAGAUACCGUCGUAGUCUUAACCAUAAACUAUGCCGACUAGGGAUCGGAUGAUGUUAAUUUUUUAAUGACUCA